rnacentral:lncRNA from 1 species
CAACCCAACCAGACAUGAAGAACACUACAGCGGAUGGCCAGAAACCUUUAUUUCCAACACCCUCUCUCCUGAAUCCUCAGCCCAGCCCGCCUCCCCACUUCUGUCCCAGAGACCUGUAACAAGUAUACAUAUAUUGUCACCCCAAAUGUCAAAGAGUCAAGGAUUGUUUUUUAUUCAGCUUGCACAACUGGGAAAGUGAAUAGACUCUUUAAAAAUAGAAAUUUGUAGGAAAGCUUCUUUUCAUUUGUUUGCUUAUUUUUUUUCCAAUGAAUAUUUAGAGUUUGUUGUUUCUCUAAAGAAAAGUAUCUUGAUCUGGAUGGUAUGCUGUUGUCCUAGCCUGUGGCAAUUUGGAAAGCAUUCUGGAUCUGCUGGCACAGGAAGCUUCCUUUAAAUCCUCCCCCCUCCAUUUCUACCUGCUUGAGCUGAGGAAGACUGCCCUUCUCUGAGUUUCAGCUCCUCCCCCCCCCCCCCCCACUCUUUCUCCUCUCUCUCUCUUUCCUCUCUUUCUCUCUCUCCUCUCUGUCUCUCUGAAUCUCUCUGUCUCUGUCUCUUUCGGUCUCUCUGUCUCUCUGUCUCUCUCUCUCUCUCUCUCUCUGGAACAAAGACUUGGGAACCUUCCAGUUUAGAGGUGAUUACAUUCAAUCCUAACAUCUGGAGGGAAGGGCUACAUCCCUCUUCUCAGCUGAGUCAGUCAAGAUUAGAGUGACUAGAGCUUCUCAUCCCAACUCCUCCCCAUUGUACCAUGUAGCAGUCAGUCAGCUUAAAUACUUAGUAAGUACCUACUAUGGGCUCCUCCCCUUUGCACCAUGUAGCAGUCAGUCAGCUAGUACUUAGUAAGUAUCUACUAUGGGCUCCUUAGGCUAAGAGCUGGGAAUCAAAAGGUGGUGAACAGCAGCCCGUUUCAAGAUGCUCACACUGUGGACUUGGAGGCAGGCUGGAGCCGGUCAAGCUUGGGGAGGGCCGGCUUUUGGGACUUUUUUCUCCCUUCCUCAUGGGACACAGUAUCCCUCCCUUUCUUCCCAUUUCCUUACUCUCCCCACUCAAUUCUUCUAAGAAAUGAUCCCUCUUUUGGUGCUCAGAGAAUCCAGCUGAAUCUUUCUCAGCUUCCUGUUCUGACAGAAGCCAGGUUCAGUUUCUUUUCAAUCAAAACAAGAAAGUUCCAAAUGCCCGACUUCCCAUUUUGUCCAGAUUGGGCACCUGCCCUGGCACCCACUCAGGCCGGACCAGUCCCAGGAGCAGGUGGCGGCUACUCAGUGGCCCAGGGCUUUGUGUGCAAGCUCUCUGCAGUCUAUCCCUGUACAAGAAACCCAUUGGGUGAAGUACAAGCAAUGCUUCCAGCUUCUUAGUGCAUCAUUGCUCUCCAGAGGGGUAAAGGGGCCAGGCCAGAGCCAAGCCAAGCUUCAUUUUCUGGCAAAGUCCCUGAUUUCGGAAUCCCGGCAAGAUCAGCUUCAUUGGACAGCUCCCCGCACCCACAGGGAGAGUCACCUCCAAUUCACACCAUCUCUGACUCCUUCCCUCCUUUCCAUGUGUCCAUCUCUGUCCAUCUCUUAUUUUAUUUCUCCCUCCUCUCUGUUCCUCAUUAUUUGUGUUUCUGUCUUUCUUUCACUACCUCUCUUUUAGCAUCUAUUAUUAUUCCCUGACUCUCUCUGUUCCUGCCUCUGUCCUGUUUUUCUUGCUCUUUGUCCCAUUCCCCCACUCCUUACGCACCUGUCCAUCCCAAGCCUUUGUCCCAGCUUCCUCAGUGUCCCGAGACCACACAGAUGCUGACUGAUCACGUCCAACUCUUCAUGCCCCCUUUUGGGGUCAUCUUCACAAAGAUACUGGAGCAGUUUGCCGUCUCCUCCAGUUCAUUUGUACAGAUAAGGAAACUGAGUCAAACGGAGUUCAGUGAUUUGCCCAGAGUCACACAGUCAGUAAGUGUCCGAGGGCAGGUUUGAAGUCCUGAAGGCGAGACUUCCUGAUUCCAGCCCUGGCACUGGUGCCGCGCUCGACUUGACUGAACCCUUCCUUGGUACUCCGGGGGCACUGAAGCAGUCAAUGAUCUCUGUGGUCUCUGACAAGGAAUGGAAUCCCCCGUGGAGCUGUUUACUCUCACCCUGGCAGCUCAGAGGAAACAAACCCAGUUGUCC